CCUACGGGAGGCAGCAGUGGGGAAUUUUGCGCAAUGGGGGAAACCCUGACGCAGCAACGCCGCGUGGAGGAUGAAAUCCCUUGGGAUGUAAACUCCUUUCGAUCGGGACGAUUAGGACGGUACCGGAAGAAGAAGCCCCGGCUAACUUCGUGCCAGCAGCCGCGGUAAU
rnacentral:rRNA from 1 species